CGACCGGUUAUACUUCUACUACGUAUGCGUCACCACUUCCGUGCAUGCACAGUAGAAGUACAACAGACCCUUACAACAGUGGAACCACUGUUGUAAGGGUCUGUUAAUAUGUUAAAAGAAGACGAUUGGGGUUCUGGUGUGAUAAAGUGGUUUGUCUUGCUGUGGCAACCAGGAUCUUAUGUACCUUUGUCUCUGUGCCUUUUCUCACACACACUCUACACAAAUUACACACAUCCAUCUGGAACCCACAGAUAGCACGGUACUCAAGUUGUGCUCCAUGCCAUCUCUGUGAGGGCAGAUAGAGCGUGUACCCAAUUUUGGUUCCUAACCCUUUGUUUUAGCUUCGCGGGCCUGCCCGCCAUUUUGGAUCAUGGAGCGACUGGACAGUCCCUACACUACUGACUUUACAGAUUCUUCACACUCAUUGGUUUCACUUAUUUUCUUAAUCAUCUUGUUAUUUAGUUUUCCCCUGUGUCUCCCGUUUUUGUUCAGUCCAUGAGCCGGGCUGUGACAAAUACGGGAGAUUAGCUUAUACUGUUCUAGCUCAAGUGUUUUAAGUUCUGUCUCAUUUUCUCAGCCGUCCAAAAACAGUUCUUUUUGCUGAUCAAAAAUAAAGCCAGGAUUUUAGCAAAGACCAGAGGUAGAAUCAAAAGGAUGCACAGUGCCCUUGAAAACGCCAUCCUCAAACAAGUUAUCCUUCAAAAUAGAUUUCCUGUAGCACUUAAUGCAAUUUACUAUUCUACUGUACUGUGGACAUGUGGUACCAACACACCAGAGACAAGUUCCACUAAUUACACAUUUCAGUCCCUAAUCACAAACUCCACCUACCAAGCCGCAGCUUUCCUUGAUACCUUACCAAGUCUUCCUGAGAAGACAGGGGGAAAGAGUGGACAAAUUGCACUACUCCAAGUUACCAGAAACAUUACAAAGGCCAAAAGAAACAGAUCGCAUUGGACGAGCCCCCAUUUGUCACAGCCCGGCUCAUGGACUGGACAAAAAAAGGGAGACACACAGAAUGCCUGCCAGUUCACGGACUCGGAUUCACUCCUGUGACACGGAACCCUCUGAGCUUCGUAGCUUGGACAUCAUGACCCUCGUAACGACCGCUCCCCCGAGCUACUUCUCUGUUCUCACUUGUGUUAAAUAAAUUCUCUCAUUGCACCUCC